AACGCACAUUGCACUCUCUGGUAUUCCGGAGAGUAUGCUUGUUUGAGUAUCUGUAAACAUCUCAAAUCUCUCGACGCUUGCGUCUGAGAGAAUUGGAUUUGAGCGAUCCCGACUCCUUCAUCAGAAAGAGGAGGGUCGCUUGAAAUGCAGGUGCAGCUGGACAUUCUUCUGAGCUAAAAGCAUAUCUAUUUAGUCCCGUCAAACGGAUUAUUACUUUUGCUUCAGCUAAUAUAAAGGUUGAAUGAACUACCAACGCUGAUUGCAGGAAAACUUGUUCGUAACUGAACUUGUAAACUCGAUCUCAAAUCAAGUAAGACUACCCGCUGAACUUAA
rnacentral:misc_RNA from 1 species